rnacentral:misc_RNA from 1 species
CCGAGUUAGGGUCGCCCUCGCGCGCCCGACCUCCAACCCUUUGUCUACCCGACCUUUUUGUUGCUUCGGCAGGCCCGCCGCCCCUCACGGGGUGGCCGCCGGGGGCUUAACCGCACCGGGCCCGCGCCUGUCGAUGGCCAAACCACAAACUCUUGUACCUAAACGUGUCGUCUGAGUUAACAAACAAAAUAAAUUA